AUGACACAGCAAACAAGAUACAUAUGCUGGAUUUCAUAUCACAAAAUCACAAGUCGAACACUUCCCAAGUGUCUAGGACUGUGUGAUGUAUUUUCGGAUGAUGCGCGCAGAUCCCAGCAGGGUGGCCUUUUGCAGUUGGCAGAUCGUAAUUUUGUCAAUGUCUAUUGUUUCCAAAUGCCGGCUGAGAUCUUUUGGCACGGCACCCAGUGUGCCCAUCACCACCGGGACCACCUGCACUGGUUUCUGCCAGAGUCUUUGAAGUUCAAUCUUGAGGUCCUGAUAGCGGCUGAGUUUUUUCUUAUUAUUAUUAUUACAAAUUAAGCACCGAAACAUCAUGUUAUACAACAAAUUUGAGACAAAGUAGUUCAUUACACAUUCAUGCUAUGUAGUAAUUACUGUAUUUACAAAUUUAGCACCAAAAUAUCACAAUGUAUUGAAAACAUUGACUACAAAAAUGCAUUGGAUAAUCCAGAAAGUUGGAUAAGUGAGUGUUGCAUAAGUGAGACUCUACUGUACUACACCCUCAGUUUCAAAAUAAACAAUGUAAACUUCAUUUAAACAAACUUCAAUUAAAUGCAAAUAGUUAUGUGCCUUCAAGCUGUCUCUGGGGUAUGGUGGUCUCUGGCAAGAUUUGUUCAGAGAUUUGUCUUUGCUUUCCUCUCAGGCUGUGUGAGUGUGACUUCCCAAGUUUGUUCAGAGGGUUUCUUUUGGCUGAGCAGGGAGUGGAACCCUGGUCUUCAGAAUUGUUCUCCAACACCCAAAACACUGCAUCACAAAUUCUCUCUAACUGCAUAGUACACAUAAAUUAAUCAAAUGCAGGAUUGAAUAAGUCAUGCCAGACUACACAGAGAAGCCAUUGAAAUCCACAAGCAUGUGGACAACUUCAACAGAAAGGAAGAAACCAUGAAAAUGAACAAAAUCUGGCUACCAGUAUUAAAAAACUCUAAAAUCAAAACAGUAGAUGGGAACCAACACUCUGAGGGCAGAGGACAGCUAAUGACUGAACAAAGGAUGCCCCCAGGCAAGAGACAAAACCUUUCCAAUGCUAAUUAGGGUGAUUAACUGAAGCAUUAAUGCUGGCUUCCCAGUGACAAAGGACUCUUGCCACACCCUGGACUCUACACAGAUAUAUAUUCUUUCCUUUCCUUAGUUUAUCCAUACCUCACAACCUCUGAGGAUGCUUGCCAUAGAUGUGGGCGAAACGUCAGGAGAGAACAUGAUUUUAAUUUCUGAAAUCUGUUUCUACUUUGUUAUUUGUGUUUAUUGUGCAUUUAGUCAUUGUUGCAGUGUGCCUGCAAGUUGUUUGCAAUCUAUAGGAAUCUAUAGCAUAGGGGAUUUUUUGGCAUUAUUUAUUUAGAAUAUGGAUUACCAUUGCCCUCUUUUGCAUCUGAGAGAGGAUGACUUGAAUAAGGCUGAAUGGGGAUUGAAUAAUAGAAUCAUAGAGUUGGAAGAGACCUUGUGGGCCAUCAAGUCCAACCCCCUCCAGCGUCAUAGACCAGUUCGCAAAUCACUACAGCAUUCUGGUUGUCCUCUGGGAAUAUACAGAGGAAAAAAACAUGUUUUUCUUCUCUUAAAAGAAGGACAGUUUCCUGCUCAUUGAAAGUUUGAAAGCAACUCCUGUGGGCAUGGAGCUGAAUUCUUUAUAUUUUGAUUAUUCUAAUAGUCCUUAUUUAAUACUUAUUAUCUUUUUCUUCCUUGGGGACCUGCAGCAUAUAUUUUAUUAUCCAAAGCAUAACAUUUUGUUUGAGUCUCUUUAGAAGUUGAACAUCUGAAAAACAUUAAAAAUAAUAGAAUUAUAAUAGAAAUGUCUAUCAUAACAAAAACAAGAGUAGAGCAAGAAUGUGCAAAUUACUUCUCCCCGUCAGUAAAGUAAAAAGCAACUUGAAUUAUUCUAAACCCAGGGUCUAAUGUUUCAAGAACUUAAGCUUUUUUGUCCCAUAAUAUAAUUUAAACCAACAGAUUUUUUGCUAAUCACUUCCAAACACAAAGCACUAAUUAGAUUUCUUUCAAUUUUUUAUAUCUCUCCCUGACAGUUUUCUCACUGUAUUUUGACAAGGGUAGGGAGAUAUACACAGUCAUAAUGUUAAUGCAAUGCCCUCUGGUACUGUUUAUCCUUAACAUACAAAAGGAAAUUGUCAGCACCCCAUAACUAACAAAUAGCAAAACAUAAGAGAUAACCAGUUAGGUUUCUUUGGGUGAUUUAAAAUAUAUAUUACUUUGAAAUGAAAAGAUUUUCAAUUAAUUCAUAAAAAUACUCUCAAAAUCCAAGGUGCUUGAAAAAUCAGGUUUUCCUGGAUUUGAAUUUAAGCUGAAUGGAUACAGCUGUACUUUGGUUUCUAUAUUUUGCCAAACUGCAUAUUGCUAAACUCAAAAAUACACAAAGUUGUGGAUUAAAAUUGACAUACAAAGCAUUUUUUCUUUUUUUCUGUUUUCUUUCAAAUUGGCAGACUGAUAUAGAAAUUGGACAGACUUAUGACAAAAUACAUGUUAUAGAAUUGAAGGGGGCUGGUGUAGCCACACCUAUUCCUUACUGUUGUUUGUCCUUUAAUUUAGUGCCCACAUAUGGAGAAAACACACAUUUGCACUCCAAAAUGCCAACUGCAUCCAGUCUGGUCAUUGCAGCCUGGUGAAAGUUGUUGCUGUUGUUCUUGACAUCCUUCAACAAAUUUCUGACUUAGAACAACUGUCAAGAUUGGUUCAGAGGGGGUUGGCCAUUGUUAUCCUCUGAAAAAACUAUUAUUCACACCACAGGAUUAUUUGUUUUAUUUUAUUUAUUUACAGUAUUUAUAUUCCGCCCUUCUCAUCCCGAAGGGGACUCAGGGCGGAUCACAUUAUACACACAUAGGGCAAACAUUCAAUGUCCAUAAACACAUCAAACAGAGACCGAGACAGACAGACGCAGAGGCAAUUUAACCUUCUUCUGAGGGGAUGUUCGAUUCUGGCCACAGGGGGGAGCAGCUGCUUCAUCAUCCAUACUGACGGCACUUCCUCAUUCCAGGUUGUAAAUUAGUUAAACUUGCCUCCCCACUUUUAUAAGUGGUACCUUAUUUCCUACUUGAUAGAUGCAACUAUCUUUUGGGUUGCUAGGUCAGCAACGAGCAGGGGCUAUUUUUUAUUUUUUAUUGACGGGUGCUCACCCCGCCACGGGCUGGCCUC
rnacentral:lncRNA from 1 species